GACGAACGCUGGCGGCGUGCUUAACACAUGCAAGUCGAACGGAAAGGCCCCUUUGGGGGUACUCGAGUGGCGAACGGGUGAGUAACACGUGAGUAACCUGCCCUUGACUUCGGGAUAACUUCAGGAAACUGGGGCUAAUACCGGAUAGGAAUCCUUGCUGCAUGGUGGGGGUUGGAAAGCUUCGGCGGUUUUGGAUGGACUCGCGGCUUAUCAGCUUGUUGGUGGGGUAGUGGCUUACCAAGGCUUUGACGGGUAGCCGGCCUGAGAGGGCGACGGGCCACAUUGGGACUGAGAUACGGCCCAGACUCCUACGGGAGGCAGCAGUGGGGAAUAUUGCACAAUGGGCGGAAGCCUGAUGCAGCAACGCCGCGUGCGGGAUGACGGCCUUCGGGUUGUAAACCGCUUUCAGCAGGGGCGAAGCUUGUGGUGACGGUACCUGCAGAAGAAGCACCGGCUAACUACGUG
rnacentral:rRNA from 1 species